rnacentral:rRNA from 1 species
AGUAGCGGCGAGUGAAGCGGCAAAAGCUCAAAUUUGAAAUCUGGCACCUUCGGUGUCCGAGUUGUAAUUUGAAGAUUGUAACCUUGGGGUUGGCUCUUGUCUAUGUUUCUUGGAACAGGACGUCACAGAGGGUGAGAAUCCCGUGCGAUGAGAUGCCCAAUCCUAUGUAAGGUGCUUUCGAAGAGUCGAGUUGUUUGGGAAUGCAGCUCUAAGUGGGUGGUAAAUUCCAUCUAAAGCUAAAUAUUGGCGAGAGACCGAUAGCGAACAAGUACAGUGAUGGAAAGAUGAAAAGAACUUUGAAAAGAGAGUGAAAAAGUACGUGAAAUUGUUGAAAGGGAAGGGUUUGAGAUCAGACUCGAUAUUUUGUGAGCCUUGCCUUCGUGGCGGGGUGACCCGCAGCUUAUCGGGCCAGCAUCGGUUUGGGCGGUAGGAUAAUGGCGUAGGAAUGUGACUUUGCUUCGGUGAAGUGUUAUAGCCUGCGUUGAUGCUGCCUGCCUAGACCGAGGACUGCGA